GUCUCUUGCUCCAGCCAGAGCUCGAGGUUAGCUCUUCACUGCCCUGUGUCUUCUUUCCAAGGGUCUCGGUGAUUCGGCCACAGCCUCAGCCUCCAUCACGCGGUGAACUGAUGGUGCUGGAAGAUUCAUAGACUCCAGGACAUUCCUGAAGCCGAGAAAAGGUUAAGUAGGGUCUGGCCUGGAAUACUCUCCUAGAUGAAGAUAGCCCAACCAUGAGCCACCUUCGAAGCAGAUGAGAUGAAAUUAAAGCUCUUCAACUCCUAAAGGCCCAGAGACUAUCACAAAAGAGGUCAGAAAUCCUGAAGGUCACUUUCUGACAAACUCAGGAACCCCAGGUUUAUCUUGGAGCCUCAAGAGGAGAUAAAUUCACCCAACUCAGGCUGGAGUGCAGUGGAAUGAUCUUGGCUCACUUCCGUCUCCGCCUUCCAGUUUCAAGUGAUUCUCCUGCCUCAGCCUACUGAGUAGUUGGGAUUACAGGUGCCUGCCACCACACCCAGCUAAUUUUUGUAUUUUUAGUAAAGAUGGGGUUUCACCAUGUUGGCCAGGCUGGUCUCAAACUCCUGACGUCAUGAUCUGCCCGCUUCAGUCUCCCAAAGUGUGAUUACAGAGUGAGGCUGGCUGGGGGAGCCUGGGCUCCUCUGUCCUCCCCGAGGUGGCAGUGGCUGAUGUCUGCUCAGGUGUGAGGGGGUGCUGCCAUCCUCUGGGCCUGAGGCUGCCUGGCCCAGCCCCUCCUAACUCCCUGGACUCUUCCACGGUGUCUUCAGGCCCCUACACCAUCCUUUGUGUAAGGGGAGGUGGCAGCAUAGAGAUGAUGGGGGAACUGCCCCAUGUGCCAAGGAAAGCUCACCCAUCUGUGCGAAAUGCUCUGGUUGACAUUGGGUUUUUGCGCACCAAACUGGGCCAUGACCAAGGUUUAUAACCAAGGUGUCUCCGGGCAUGGGCACUUUGGCUCUUGUAGAAACCACCCCACUGGCAGGAGACGGCGGUAGCUGUGGUCAUUGAAAACAAGCUCCUGCUGAUAAAUCUCAGACACCAGACACAGAAGAACCUGGAGACCCUGCCAGAGAGCUUGAGGCAAAUGGAUGGACUGUUGGAGCAGCUGAGGGUGAAGCAGCACAAACUCCUCAAAGUUGAAUAGCAAAGCAGCCACCAGAGAUGGACAAGAAAAAUGAACAAAGAAAAUUAGCAGAAAUCAAAGGCAGAUGCUAAAGCAGUGCAAAAUCAUUCAUUCAAUGAUAGAAAUGAAAUUGAUGAAGGAGUCUGGAAAAUGAAUGACAGAAGAGAAUUAAACAGCAGUGACCAUAGUAAGGUCCUGACGAUUCUGGUCCACUGAAUCCCAUCAUCCCUAAGACAGUAAAUAUCAUCACAGUCACCACCAGCAAGUUACCACCACAGCAUUUCCUGUUUGUUCCAAAAUGAAUAAAGAUGAUUCUCAUCACAAGGGCAAAUACAAAGUAGUUUAGUAUGUUUUUAACUAAACUAAAGGUGUUUGGUUUACUUUUUCUAAGUUCUCAUAAUUCUGAAAAUGCAGUUGACACUUGUGUGGCUCAUGAUGUUUUUAAUAGUCUAAUGCUACUUGAAUUGUUCAAAAACCACUGUAUUUUAAAUUAAGAUGAAUAAACGGUCCUUUGAAAACUGGCACAAGGCAAGGAUGCCCUCUGUCACCACUCCUAUUCAACACAGUAUUGGAAGUUCUGGCCAGGGCAAUCAGGCAAGGGAAAGCAAUACAGCGUAUCAAAAUAGGAAGAGAGGAAGUCAAAUUGUCUCUGUUUGCAGAUGACAUGAUUGCAUAUUUAGAAAACCCCAUCUUCUCAGCCCAAAACCUCCUUAAGCUGAUAAGCAACUUCAGCAGUCUCAGAAUACAAAAUCAAUGUGCAAAAAAUCACAAGCAUUCCUAUACAUUAAUAACAGACAAACAGAGAGCCAAAUCAUGAGUGAACUCCCACUCACAAUUGCUAGUAAGAGAAUAAAAUACCUAGGAAAAUACAGCUUACAAGGGACAUGAAGGACCUCUUCAAGGAGAACUACAAACCACUGCUCAAGGAAAUGAGAAGAGACAAACAAAUGGGAAAGCAUUCCAUGCUCAUGGAUAGGAAGAAUCAAUAUCGUGAAAAUGGCCAUAGUGCCCAAAGUAAUUUUAUAGAUUCAAUGCUAUCCUCAUUAAGCUACCAUUGAUUUUCUUCACAGAAUUGGAAAAAACUACUUUAAACUUCAUAUGGAACCAAAAAAGAGCCUGCACAACCAAGACAAUACUGGGCAAGAAGAACAAAGCUGGAAACAUCAGGCUACCUGGCUUCAAACUAUACUACAAGGCUACAGGAACCAAAACAGCAUGGUACUGGUACCAAACAGAUAUGUAGACCAGUGGAACAGAACAGGGCCUCAGAAAUUGAUAUCACUCUGUCACCAUCAAAAAAUACUUAUUUAGUGUCAAAUCCUACUGUGAAAUAGCAGAACUGUGGGAUUUGUAAAGUGGAAAUGCAGAAUUCAAAACAGAGAUAUAUACCAAUGGAACAGAGCAGAGGCCUCAGAAAUACCACCACACGGCUACAACAAUCUGAUCUUUGACAAACCUGACACACACAAGCAAUGAGAAAAAGAUUCCCUAUUUAAUAAAUGGUGUUGGGAAAACUGGCUAGCCAUAUGUAGAAAAUUGAAACUGGACCCCUUUCUUACCCGUUUUACAAAAAUCAACUCAAGAUGUAUCAAAGACUUAAAUGUAAGACCUAAGACCAUAAAAAUCCUAGAAGAAAACCUGGGCAGUACCAUUCAGGACAUAGGCAUGGGCAAAGCCUUCAUGUCCAAAACACCAAAAGCAGUGGCAACAAAAGCCAAAAUUGACAAAUGGGAUCUAAUUAAAUUAAAUAGCUUCUGCACAGCAAAAGAAACUCAUCAGAGUGAACAGGCAACUACAGAAUGGGAGAAAAUUCUUGCAAUCUAUCCAUCUGACAAAAGGCUAAUAUCUAGAAUCUACAAAGAAUUUAAACAGUUUACAAGAAACAAACAAACUGCCCCAUCAAAAAAUGGGCAAAGAUAUGGACAGACACUUCUCAAAAGAAAACAUUUAUGCAGCCAACAGACACAUGAAAAAAUGCUCAUCACUGGUCAUUAGAGAAAUGCAAAUCAAAACCACAAUGAGAUACCAUGUCACACCCGUUAGAAUGGCAAUCAUUAAAAAGUCAGGAAACAACAGUGCUGGAGUGGAUAUGGAGAAAUAGGAACACUUUUACACUGUUGGGAGUGUAAAUUAGUUCAACCAUUGUGGAAAACAGUGUGGCAAUUCCUCAAGGAUCUAGAACUAGAAAUAACAUUUGACCAAUUCCAUUACUGAGUAUAUACCUAAAGGAUUAUAAAUCAUUCUAUGAUAAAGACACAUGCACACGUCUGUUUAUUGUGGCACUAUUCACAAUAGCAAAGACUUGAAACCAACCCAAAUGUCCAUCAAUGAUAGACUGGGUAAAGAAAAUGUGGCACAUAUACACUGUGGAAUACUGUGCAGGUGUAAAAAAGGAUGAGUUCAUGUCCUUUGCAGGGACAUGGAUGAAGCUGGAAACCAUCAUUCUCAGCAAACUAGCACAAGAUCAGAAAACCAAACGCUGCAUGUUCUCACUCAUAAGUGGGAGUUGAACAGUGAGAACACAUGGACACAGGGAGGUGAACAUCACACACUGGGGCCUGUCAGGUGCUGGGGGGCUAAGGGAGGGAUAACAGGAAAAAUACCUAAUGUAGGUGACGGGUUGAUGGUUGCAGCAAACCACCAUGGCACAUGUGUACACGUAUGUAAUAAAACUGAUGUUCUUCACAUGUAACCCAGAACUUAAAGUAUAAUAAUAAAAAGAAGAAUAAAUAUUUGUUUUAUAUAUUUAAAGCUUAGAAUCACAAAUAAUGCUUCUGUUUAUGAUUUGAAAACUUCAAAGUUUGGUUUUCCUUCUGUACAUACACAAAACAUUGUAUUGUGCUGAAAUAUUUGUUUUUUAAAGUGGCAGUCAUAGUUCCUGUCUGUCCGGAUAUAUAUAUGUAUAUAUGUUAAGCAUAACAUAAGAAAGAAAUUUCAUUAGCUGGGCAUGAUGGCUCACUCCUGUAAUCCCAGAACCUUGGGAGGCUGAGGUGGGUGGAUUGCCUGAGGUCAGGAGUUUGAGACCAGCCUGGCCAACAUAGUGAAACCUCGUCUCUACUAAAAAUACAAAAAAUUAGGUGGGCGUGGUGGCAGGCACCUGUAAUCCCAGCUACUAGGGAGGCUGAGGCAAGAGAACGGCUUGAACCUGGGAGUCAGAGGUUGACGUGAGCCGAGAUCACACCAUUGCACUCCAGCCUGGUGACAGAGUGAGACUCUGUCUGAAAAAAAAAAAAAAAGAAAAAUUUUAUUUUGUUUUCGGUAAUCUAAGAUUGUUGUACACAAAAACUUUACAGAUUAUGGUAGGGUUUAGCAAACUGUGUAUAUAACGUAACAUUAAUAUCGCUAUUUUCUGAUGUCUAACUUUUAGGAAAGAUUUUUUGUUUACAAAUGUCUCCACAAAUUCUGGCUUAUUUUAUAAAAAUAGCAGAAUACUAAAGAAAUGGGUGGUUUGCCACACUACAUGAAUUCACACACUACUGGCAUUCAAUUAAAAUAGCAAAUAUUUUCCUCAAAAUUUAGACAGAUGAAAUAAUUUCUUGAUUUUUGAGUGCAGUGACAGACAUUCACAAAUAUUUCAGAAAUCAAAGCUGUAUUAGGUUUUACUUAGUAGUAAUAUGUAUAUAAGAUCAAGGAUCUGUUCAGAAUAGAUAUUUUUCAUCAAUAAUUUGGUGCUUUCAAAUACCCAGAAGUCUUGUUUUAAUCAGAUGAAGUCUGAGGAUAGUUUAGUAAUUUUACUUUUUGUAUGAUGUGUUCACAAUUUUCUAAUUUAACCUAGUAUUGAUUGAUGAUGGGUAAACCAACUUUUUUUUUUAAUCUCGUAGGUUUAUUAUGUUGUUGAAGAUGUUUUUAGUUAGAAUUCUGUCUUUCAAAAUUGUUUACAGAGAUUUAGGUCUAGUUGAAUUUGCUCAACCUGUUAAUCAGUGUCAGCUGCCAGAUUCUAAUUCAUUUUUAGUGUGCCUGUACUUUUCUUUCUCUAAACUAAAUUUAUAUUCUCUAUAUUACUUGUUCAAAUGUGAUAUAAUACAGCUCACACAUUUAAAACAAAACCAUGAGGACAAAUUAAUUCUGGCUUAGUAUAAAGAAGCUGUUACCAAAUUAGUGUUACAUAUGCAGAUGGAUGCAGCUCAACAAAAUUUUACACAAAAAAAAUUGAAUUGAACUACACGUGUUGCCAUGACUUAGCCUCUAAUGAUCUCGUGAAUAAAGACAAAUUUCAACACAUUUAUUCAUUUGCUUUCAUUAUGUCUAAUGGUAGUGUGUCAAAAAUUCUCAUGCUACUGUCUGAGAAAACACGUUCUACUUUUACUUAAGAAAUCAACUGAAUGGCAUUUUUAUAACCUUGCACCACAUAAGGAAAAACUGCAAUGUAGUCUGCGUGGAAAAGGAUAAUCCAGAAUGUCACUUUCAAUAUUUAAGUAUUUAACCUUUUGGUUGAAAAAUGUAGUAAAAUACGGAUGCCAAGCCGAGGCUGGACUGUGCUGCCGCCAUCUCGGCUCACUGCAACAUCCCUGCCUGAUUCUCCUGCCUCAGCCUGCCGAGUGCCUGGGAUUGCAGGCGCAUGCCGCCACGCCUGACUGGUUUUUGUAUUUUUUGGUGGAGACGGGGUUUCGCCAUGUUGGCCAGGCUGGUCUCCAGCUCCUGACCGCGAGUGAUCUGCCUGCCCGGGCGUCCCGAGGUGCCGGGAUUGCAGACGGAGUCUCGCUCACUCAGUGCUCAAUCUUGCCCAGGCUGGAGUGCAGUGGCGUGAUCUCAGCUCGCUACAACCUCCACCUCCCAGCCACCUGCCUUGGCCUCCCAAAAUGCCCAGAUUGCAGCCUCUGCCCGGCUGCCACCCUGUCUGGGAAGUGAGGAGCGUCUUUGCCUGGCCGUCCAUCAUCUGGGAUGUGAGGAGCCCCUCUGCCCGGCUGCCCAGUCUGGGAAGUGAGGAGCGCCUCUUCCCGGCCGCCAUCCCAUCUAGGAAGUGAGGAGCGUCUCUGCCCAGCCACCCAUCGUCUGAGAUGUGGGGAGCGCCUCUGCCCCGCUGCCCCGUCUGGGAUGUGAGGAGCGCCUCUGCCCGGCCACAACCCCGUCUGGGAUCUGAGGAGUGUCUGUCUCUGCCCGACCGCCACCCCGUCUGGGAGGUGAGGAGCGUCUCUGCCUGGCCGCCCCGUCUGAGAAGUGAGGAGCCCCUCCGCCCGGCAGCCGCCCCGCCUGGGAAGUGAGGAGCGUCUCCGCCCGGCAGCCGCCCCGUCCGGGAGGUGGGGGGCAGCCCCCGCCCAGCCAUCCGCCCCGUCCAGGAGGGAGGUGGGGGGGUGCCUCUGCCCGGCCACCCCGUCUGGGAAGUGAGGAGCCCCUCUGCCCGGCCGCCACCCCGUCUAGGAGGUGUACCCAACAGCUCAUUGAGAACGGGCCAUGAUGACAAUGGCGGUUUUGUCGAAUAGAAAAGGGGGAAAUGUGGGGAAGGAAAGAGAGAUCAGAUUGUUGCUGUGUCUGUGUAGAAAGAAGUAGACAUGGGAGACUCCAUUUUGUUCGGUACUAAGAAAAAUUUUUCUGCCUUGGGAUGCUGUUAAUCUAUAACCUUACCCCCCACCCCCCACCCCGUGCUCUCUGAAACAUGUGCUGUGUCCACUCAGGGUUAAAUGGAUUAAGGGCGGUGCAAGAUGUGCUUUGUGAAACAGAUGCUUGAAGGCAGCAUACUUGUUAAGAGUCAUCACCACUCCCUAAUCUCAAGUACCCAGGGACACAAACACUGUGGAAGGCCGCAGGGUCCCCUGCCUAGGAAAACCACAGACCCUUGUUCACAUGUUUAUCUGCUGACCUUCCCUCCACUGCUGUCCUAUGACCCUGCCAAAUCCCCGUCUCUGAGAAACACCCAAGAAUGAUCAAUAAAUACUAAAAAAAAAAAAAAAAAAAAGUAGUAAAAUAGAGCUCUUGGUAAGUUUUGUGUAGCUUAACAUCAGCAUAAAGUAGGAAAAAAUAUCUUUAAAAAUGUAAACGGACAAAAACCUACACCAAAAAAACAAACAUACACCAAUGCAUACAUAUUGACUGAAGCUCCAGGGAUGUAAAAUAAUUUCUCCUGGGUACACAGCUAGUGACCCAAAUCAAGCUCAAAUAUGUUUGAUUUUAAAAUUGUCAUUUUCUCACUUUUGACAAUAUUGACAUAACAGGUAAAUCUUUGUCUCAGAGUUGAUAGUUGAAAAUAAACUAAGAUAAGUAUUAUUGAAGCUGGCUAGCUAGCCAAGAAGGUCACCAUGUCCUCAGGAUGCAGCAGCCAUGGCGAUUUCCUGGUGAUAGCAUAUUAUCAACACAAUAAACCCCAACAUUUGCAUUGCGUUUCAGCUCAUUCAAGCAAAGCUCUCUAGUAGGGAUAUUCCCCCAUAAAGAGCAUGCACAUUUUGAUUUUACUUGUCCUCUGACCUUUUACUCAUCGUAAUACUAAAAAACACACACGUGAGUGGAGUUUUUGCUAAUGAGAUGCUAAUUAGAUAUGUGACAUAUGCUAAUGAGAUAUGUGACAUAUAAACAAGCAUGUACAGCCACUGUGUAUGUGCACCAAGAGGACCACCCAGAACAUGCUUACUAAUAACACCACUUUCUAACUCUUUGUAAAUAAUUAUGUAAGACUCCGAUAAAUGGAGUCUCUCUAUUUCCAGUCUUUGCUGUCUCAUUCUUAUAAGCAGCCCAUCCUGAAUUGCUUUUCUCUCAGGGGUGUUUUGCACCGCACUUUUAAAAUAGUGUUUCUACUUUGCGAUAAAUCUAUCUAUGCUGCAUCCUCAUUUUUUUGCGUCUCGUUUAAAUUUUUGAAACUAAGAACCGAGGUCUCACAACAGCCUUCAGGACUAUUGUGCUUUGUUUUGUUUUCUUAACAUUAUUUUAUGUGAUAUUUCAUAUUUACAUUUUCAACAUAGCCAAAACUGCUAAAUUAAAAACUUAAAUGAUCAUGCUUUUAAAGUGAUUUGUCUUAAAAGCAUGUAUGUAUAUUUUUCAAGUUUCAGCUUUAUGUAUUCAAAUUUUUUAAAAAUUCUGACACAUAUAUCUAUCAAAUUUAAUAUUUUAAAUAAUUUGAAUUCACUUCCAAAAUGAUUUAUAUUCAUUGUUAUAUUUCAUUUUGACCAAAUUUGGCUUUCCAAGCUAAAGAAAUGCUCUGUAGUAAAAUAAAGGCUCAUGUUUUUAUCAAUAAUAUUUUAUGUCUGAGGACUUAAGCAUCAAGGACAGAAAUCUGGAUGAUGUUGAGUGAAUAUUUAAAUUGAUAAAGUAGAAAUUAUCAGAAUCAAAUAAGGGGUGGAUCCAGAAACAUAGUACUUAAUAAAACCAUUCAGGGUAUGUUUGACAAACAAGAAGAUUGCAUAGGAUCUGCACUGCACUACUAAUGUAAAGCGUUCUCUGUAACUUUAUUCUCCACGUACUCAUACACAAAAUGAAUAAGAUUAACUCCUUUUCCUGGAAGGCAGUGAUUCCUCUUUUAUUCUGUUACAUCUGUUCCACAUUGCUGUGAUAAUGCUGUUGAAGUGCACCCCCUUACACCAGAAGAUCACCUGUGUGAAUGUGAAUAGACUGACACUGGAGAGGACCAGCUCAGCACAGUCACUUGAACUGCCCCUUUGCAUUUCAGGCAGGUAAAAUGCCUUUGAAGAGUGAAAAUAAAGUUACUGCUGAUUAAGCAGAGAGUUUGACUUGCUGAUCAAUUUGAUCAGAAGCCUCUCAAUGAGAUAAUUACUGCAUUUAUUUAUUUCAAGAAAAGUAAAAGCCAAAGCCCAGAAUGUGGCAAGGCAAGAGAAACAAAGAAAAACAAACGUCUGUAUUUAGCCAGUUCUUGUUUUUUCUUUCAAUGCAGCUACAAGGCCACCAGCUAUUAAAGGCCACAAGUUAUGCCAAGAAUUCAGUUAUGCUAUAAAUUACAUAAACUGGUCAUUAUAUAAUUAACUGCCUUUGUUUUGCUUCUGUAAGUUUACUUAUUAAAAUCUCACUCAGUCUUUGUUCAAGGCUCAGCUUUUUGGAUGUGAAUUCACUGAGCCAGAGCAUACCUUAAAAUAAAUAUCCUCCUUUAUUGACUCAUACUGGUCUCUCUAGUCCUCUGUGUCCCACAUUUCUUGGCGAGCCAGCCAGGAGCAGAGACUGUCUCCUUUGCCUUGAAAUCGGGGCUGGAGCCCCGGAUUCAAGGGAAAAUCGGGGCUGGAGCCUUGAUUCAAGGGAAACCUGGGACCCAGGCACCGCCGGGAGAACUUCAGCCCGGAGGGGAAAUCAGCUCUCCCAUGACCCGGCAUCCCUACCCAGCAGUGCAACGGAGCCUGAGAAGGGCUACAGGAUGAUUCCAGAAAUAGCGCACUUUAGGAACCACGGUAAGUUAUUGGGGACCAAGGCAGGACCCGUCCCGUAAGGACGGAAGGGGAGCCUGAUCACCUCCCGGGGUGUAACUAGUAGUCCGACCCAGAGAGGCUUGGGGCGGCAAGAGGGGCUUGCCAAUUCAGAAGAAUCUCACACCUCAACCAACACAGGAUGCGAGAGUGGCUUGCUUAGUUGGUUAGGUAAAGGAAACUGGAGGUGGUGAGAGUUGCUUGCCACCCCAAUUAGGAACACAGGAACUGGGAACAGGGACGUAUAUAAAAGUGUGUGAAAGAUGGUUCCAGGAGAAUACAAUGCAAGGAGUGACGUGGGGAGUCACAGAUCUCUUAGCAUUGACUGUGUGCUCCGAGCAAAGUAUGGGGCUGCCCUGGACUAGUGGUGAACUGUAUACGUCCAAUAGGAGUUGCCCCACAGCUCAGAGUUGUGGUGGGAAUAAGGACCUCUCCAAAGCCAAGCAGCAUCUGAAAACUCCCGUAAUUGGGGAUGGUCUGGUCAGUCUGAGGCAAAAGGAAGAGUGGGUGUGCUGCGUAGUAAAGGGAGGAAAUGGGAGUAAAGUCAUCAAAGUCCACUCCAUUGGAGCGCAUGUUACAGAACUUUAAAGAAGGUUUUACAGGGAAUUAUGGAGUUAAGCUAACCCCCCAGAGGUUAAGAACUCUCUGUGAAUUAGAACUGCCUUCUUUUAGUGUUGGAUGACUGAUUGAAGGAACUAUAGAUAGGAAAAUAAUUGGCCGUGUAUUUAAGGUGGUGACAGGUCAGAGGACAGCCUCGGCAUCCAGAUCAGUUUCCUUAUAUUGACUCAUGGUUAAAUCUAGCACAAACAAGACCAGCCUGAAUCCAGCCCUGUUUAGCAGCUUAUUGCAAAACACUUGUGGCCUAAGCCAAGCCAAAAAAUGAAAGUAAGAGCAGCUUCGCUAGCAGAUACAGAGUUAAAGAAGAAGGCCCAGAGGGAGCAAGAAAAGCCAGUUUUGCAGGAGCCACCAGAGGGAAUAAAGAUUCCUACUCCAUAUGUCACAGCCUACCCCACUUUACCAAGGCCAGCAGCCCCCUGGGAACCAGAUUCAGGUGCUAGCACACCCCAACUCUCACCCUGAAAUGAAAGACUGGAGACUUGAGAGGUCAGGGAAAGAAGUCAAGAUAGUCAAGCAGGCCAUCUCAGAUCUGGUUGUGCUUGAGAUAUGCAAAUGCCUCUCAGGGAGACACGAGGACCCAUUUAUUAAGAUAACCAAGGCCAAGUCCAAGGGUGGGAAUGGACUUUCAUCUGUCAGCCCUUUUCAACCACUGAUCUCUUAAACUGGAAACACCAUACUCCCUCCUAUAUGGAGAAGCCCCAAGCUCUUAUAGAUCUGAUGCAGUCCAUCUUUCUGACACAGAAUCCAACCUGACCAGACUGCAGGCAGCUGCUUCUCAUGCUGUAUAACACUAAGGAGCACAGGAUAGUAACCUAGACAGCUCUCUGCUGGCUAGAAGCCCAUGCACGAGCAGAUGCAGUAAAUAGGCAGGCUGGCUGCGGUGGCUCAUGCCUGUAAUCCCAGCACUUUGGGAGGCUGAGACAGGUGGAUCACGAGGUCAGGAGAUCGAGACCAUCCUGGCUAACAUGGUGAAACCUUGUCUCUACUAAAAAUACAAAAAAAUUAGCUGGGCGUGGUGGCGGGUGCCUGUAGUCCCAGCUACUUGGGAGGCUGAGGCAGGAGAAUGGUGUGAACCUGGGAGGCAGAGCUUGCAGUGAGCCGAGAUGGUGCCAGUGCACUCUAGCCUGGGUGACAGAGCGAGACUCCAUCUCAAAAAAAAAAAAGAAAAUGCUCAGGCAUAUGCUCAGGGCCAGUUCCCAGACCAAAAUCCCAACUGGGACUCAGAAGAUGCGACUCAGCUUCAGCAUUUGCAGAGGUACCAAAAGGCACUUAUGCAAAGGCUAAGGGAU
rnacentral:lncRNA from 1 species